GCCCGUGUGGCGCAAUUGGUUAGCGCGUGAGACUUUUAAGCCUCAUAAUCUCAAGGUUGCGGGUUCGAGUCCCGCCACAGGCU